GACCAAUUGCCGUAGCUACCAUGCAGUCGAACGGCAGCACAGGAGAGCUUGCUCUCUGGGUGGCGAGUGGCGGACGGGUGAGGAAUACAUCGGAAUCUACUUUUUCGUGGGGGAUAACGUAGGGAAACUUACGCUAAUACCGCAUACGACCUACGGGUGAAAGCAGGGGAUCUUCGGACCUUGCGCGAUUGAAUGAGCCGAUGUCGGAUUAGCUAGUUGGCGGGGUAAAGGCCCACCAAGGCGACGAUCCGUAGCUGGUCUGAGAGGAUGAUCAGCCACACUGGAACUGAGACACGGUCCAGACUCCUACGGGAGGCAGCAGUGGGGAAUAUUGGACAAUGGGCGCAAGCCUGAUCCAGCCAUACCGCGUGGGUGAAGAAGGCCUUCGGGUUGUAAAGCCCUUUUGUUGGGAAAGAAAUCCAGCUGGUUAAUACCCGGUUGGGAUGACGGUACCCAAAGAAUAAGCACCGGCUAACUUCGUGCCAGCAGCCGCGGUAAUACGAAGGGUGCAAGCGUUACUCGGAAUUACUGGGCGUAAAGCGUGCGUAGGUGGUCGUUUAAGUCCGUUGUGAAAGCCCUGGGCUCAACCUGGGAACUGCAGUGGAUACUGGGCGACUAGAGUGUGGUAGAGGGUAGCGGAAUUCCUGGUGUAGCAGUGAAAAUGCGUAGAGAUCAGGAGGAACAUCCAUGGCGAAGGCAGCUACCUGGACCAACACUGACACUGAGGCACGAAAGCGUGGGGAGCAAACAGGAUUAUAUACCCUGGUAGUCCACGCCCCUAAACCAUGCGAAACUGGAUGUUG
rnacentral:rRNA from 1 species